rnacentral:sRNA from 1 species
AGUUUCAAUGGACAGGCAGACUGCGUACUUGUACGCAAGGAUGCAUGGACAUUAGAAACGCUAACCCAUAUGAGUAAGGAGGCCGGCAGGCCGGAUUACGAAUAUGGGGUGAGAAUUGCGGGAGCGUUGAAAACGCGCAGCAAUUC